rnacentral:tRNA from 1 species
GCAGUGGUAGCUCAGUGGUAGAGUUCUCACCUUUUGUGUGAGAGAACCAGCUUCGACUCCUGGCCAGUGCA